ACUCAAAGGAAUUGACGGGGGCCCGCACAAGCGGUGGAGCAUGUGGUUUAAUUCGACGCAACGCGAAGAACCUUACCUGGGUUUGACAUGCAUCAGACAGGUGUAGAAAUACACCCUCCCUUCGGGGCUGGUGCACAGGUGCUGCAUGGCUGUCGUCAGCUCGUGUCGUGAGAUGUUGGGUUAAGUCCCGCAACGAGCGCAACCCUCGUUCCUAGUUGCCAGCGGAUAACGCCGGGCACUCUAGAAAGACUGCCGGUGGUAAGCCGGAGGAAGGUGGGGAUGACGUCAAGUCCUCAUGGCCCUUACGCCCAGGGCUACACACGUGCUACAAUGGCCGAAACAAAGGGUUCCGAUACCGCGAGGUGGAGGUAAUCCCAAAAAAUCGGUCUCAGUUCGGACUGCAGUCUGCAACUCGACUGCACGAAGGCGGAAUCGCUAGUAAUCGCUGAUCAGCAGGCAGCGGUGAAUACGUUCCCGGGCCUUGUACACACCGCCCGU
rnacentral:rRNA from 1 species